AAUCCAGGGUAGUGGAGAGCACCUCAUAGCACAAACUUAUGCUGAUAUCAGCACUAAAGUCUUGUGCCUGCAUUUCAUACAGAGUCAGAAUGUUCCCAGCUGGCCCUUGCAGCCAACCACCCCCAUUACUACGGUGAUCAUUGCUGACUUUUCCAAUGCUCACUCACCUCAGUGCAGCACAAGAAGACUCAGGGGUGCCAGGGGAAGCAGAGCAGCCCACCUAUGGCUGAGCUUACCGUGUUCCCCACCACCUCCAAACUGAUUGUUUUGAGCCAGUCAGCCUCUCCUCCAGUCUCCUGCAGACUGUUAAACAAAAGUGAGCUCCGUGCCAGCCAAAGUCAGCAUUUUCCCAUUUCAAAAUGAGCAGCUAGGGAUGGAAUUCUCGGGAUUAUCAAGCAAGGAAAAUUCAUUGCCUUACACUGCUCAUUUAUUUGAAGUGCCACUGGCAAAUCACUGCUGCUCAAUGUGCUGAAGAAAAGCUGGCUUUCUCACCAUGUGUUGUUUACACUGGUAAAGUGUGCAUUAGACAGCAAUUUCUUCCAUCUAUUACAGUAUAUUUGGCAUUGCUCAGACUGGGAAGGUAAAAAUCCCUUUAUUUUGAUAUUUUCCUUACUAAUCUUAACACCCAGAAUCACUCUUAUUUUUAUGCGAGUGAAUUGAAAACAACUCAGGAAUUAAUGUGAACAUAUAUUAGAGUGGGAGGAAUGUCAGUUUCUGAGUUAAGUGUAUCAGGUGAUACAUGUCAAUUAUAGCAAGCAUUUUCUUCAGGGAAAAGGAAGAGCUGUAUCAGUAGUCUGAUAGCAGACUGAAGCUGAAGCAGUCCAUGUAGAAAAUCUCUUUGUUUGGUGGUGUUGGGUUAUCUUUAUAGAUGUGUAUGUACAUGGCAAUGAUCUUGGUAAUUUCUUUGGAAAAAAUUGUAGAAGAGUAGAUCUAAAUUUUGUGGAGAUCGAGUAUAGCAAUAACUAGGUUUUGAAGGUAACUGCUGUUUUUUUUCUCAUUUUCUUUCUAUUUUUGUUUCUUUUUCAUAGUUCUAAAACAAAUUAAGAACCGGAACUUCACUUUAAACACAUCUGCUGUAUUAUCUAACCUCAAAACUAAGCUUAGGCUGGAAAAUAAUAAGCAAUUUUUGAAUCAGAUUUCACCUGAUGUAUUUCUGGGUAUAAUGUCAGAAUGUCUCUGCAGUUCAUCUCAUUCUACUGCUGAACUCAGAAACACGUUCAAUCUGCACAGUCAUAUCUCCCUCUGUCCUUAGAGAGAUCCUUGAUGAAAGUACUAUCCCCUAGAUGAGGGCGUGCAGGCAAUAAUUCCAGGGGUCAAGUAGGCAUGUGUUGUGGUUUAAUCCAUCUGACAGCUAAACCACACAGCCAUUUGCUUAUUCUCCUCCAGUUAGAUAGUAGACAGGAUAAAAAAAAUUAAAAAAAAAGUGAUGCUUUUGUAGGUUGAGAUAAAGACACUUUAUGGACACAAAAAGAAGGCAAAAUAAUUAAAAUUGUAAAAGAAUACACACACACUAAGAGAUGCACAAUCCAAUUUGCCACCAAUUACUGACUAAGCAGUGUGUUACCACUCCCUGGCCAACUCCCUGCAGUUUUAUUGUUCAGCAUGGCUUUCUACACUAUGGAAUAUUCCUUUGUGUCGGCUGUCCUGGCUACGCUCCCUCACAAAUUCUUUUGCACUCCCGGCCCUCUUGUUGACUGGGCAGCGUAAGAGGCUGAAAAGUCUUAAUUUAGUGAAAGCACCUCUCAGCAGCAACUAAAACAUCAGUGUUUGUUAUCAACAAUUAUUAUCAUCCUAAGUCCAAAACACAGGACUUUACCAGCUGCUAGGAAAAUUAAUGAAGCCCAAACCAGGACAGCCUGCAUGUCUCCUACUACUUCUAGAAGCUUCUGUUUCCUUUCCUAUGUCCCUCAUGCUUAGCAAAAUGUCAUUCAGCUUCACUUAUCCAUGAAUAAAAAAACAGUCAUUCUUCUUGAUCCCACUGAAGCCUCAGAAAAAUACUAAUAUGUCACUAAUGGAGUUUUCAUGUUACCCGUUCAGAUUUCCAUCUUCAACAGCACUUCAGCAACUGAAUGCACAUCCAUUAGUCACCUUGAAUUCCUGUUAAGAGUUGUGUACUCCAUUAACCCACAAAACAUUCUCUUCUCUUCUCUUCUCUGAACAAAUGUUAUUAAACAGAGUUGCAAGAAAAGUGCCUCUAGUACACUGACCAUGUAAGAGAGUGUGCCCUCCCUGCACUUCUUAUCUUCACAAUGGUUUUAUGACAUGGAGGGAACACAAAUCACAAGUCUUUGGUAAAAGCCAAUUGCACUCUUGACUGAAAAGUAAGCAAUAAGAAAAUCUAUCUACACAAAAGAUAAGGGCUACUGUGCCAGGUCUUUCAGAUUCUUUCAGUAGGUAAAUUAGUUGAGCAUGGGUAGGAGAUAUUUGUAAAGAUAUAUACAUCAGUGGGUGACUGCUAAACCUUUUCAUUUAAGAAAUAGAACCUCAUGAAGAGCUUGCACAAGACUUUCUAACCAUAGGUGAGUAUUCCCAGGAUUAUGUGACUGAUGAAACGAAAAUCUUGUGUGAUUCCUUCAUUAACAUUGCAGUGAACACAGCUUAGUAUGUUUCCAAACAAGCUGGCAAUGUUCGAAGCCCAGCUAGAAUUCCAUAUCUAUAGAUAUGUACCAAGCUAGGCAGCCCACUCACAUCCUGGGUGUUGGCAGCUGGGGCUGCAGGGUGGUCUCUGUGAGGGGCUGCCAGGGUUGUCCUGUGCCAUACACAAAUGGCUCCUGCAGCUCCAGGUGACCCACUGGAGAGCAUGGCUGAGCCUGGAGCCAGGGCAGUGGCUCCUUGGGGAAAGGGCAGAAAACUGAGAAAGAGGAGGCAGAAUAGUCAAGCUCAAUAGUGAAGCUGAGCCUGUGAAGAAACAGUAUUUAGGGAGAAGGCAUUUUUUAUUUUGUGGUUGUUUUUCACUGUCCUGUCUCUUAUAAAUUGUCAACAAAUUAAAUUCAUCUUUCCCAAGUUGAGUCAGUUUUGCCCAUGACAGUGAUGGUUGCAGGUGAUCUCCCUGCCCUUGUCUUAGCCCAUGAAGUUUUUCAUCUUAUUUUUUCCCCUUCUGUAUCCAGCUGAAGAGGGAGAGUGAGACAUUGGCUGGGUGGACAUCUGGUAGCCGGACAAGGUCAACCCACCACACAUUCCACUAAACGGAAGAAAAAUGGACAAAACAUGUUUGUUGUUUUAAGGAACUUUAUUGAGAAGUGUAGCAAGUAUAAUAAAUGCAGUAACAAAAAGAUGUCAUUGUUCUUCAUUUACACUUUUUUUUAAAGAAUAAACUUGAAUAAAAGGUGCCAUUUUCUCUGCAAGUGAUAAUGGUCUAACAUGGAUUCUAAUUAUUUUGCUUGUUUAUAAAUAUUUUCUUCCCUUGCCAUUUAUAAGAUACUGCAUCAGUCUUUUCAGUUCCCUUUGGUUUUUCCUACUGCAAUAUUGCUGUAUUUGGUUUGUGUGGCCAGGUUUUGGCAGUGGAGGCACUGGAGGGGUGUCUCCUGUAAGGAGCUGCCAGAGGCUUCUCCUCUGUGCAGUAAAGUCAACGCCAGCCAGCUCCAAGACUGACCUGCUGGUCAAAGCUCCAAAGCCAAACCUGCUAACAGUGGCAGGAAUACCUCUGCCAUAACAGAUUUAAGAAGCAAACUAAACCCUGCAAUUACAGCCAGAGAGAGGAGUGAGAAUGUAUAAAGCUGCCUUUCAGACGCCCAGGUCAGGUAGGAAAGCAAGGGAUGAUGUGCUCCAGGCACUGGAGUUGAGAUUCCCCUGCAGCCCGUGGUACAGCCCAUGGUAAGGCAGCUCAGCUGUGCCCCUGCAGCCCAUGGAGGUUCACCAUGCAGCAGAGAUCCACCAGCUGCCCAUGGAGGACCUCAGGCCAGAACAAAUGGAUGACUGAAGGAGGCUGUGGCACUGUGGGAAGCCCUUGCUGGAGCAGAUAUCUGGCUGGAGCUGUAGACUUUUGGAGAGAAGAGUCUAUGCCGCUGGAAGGACAUGUGACCUUACAGAGGAUCCACGCUGGAGCAGAGGAAGAGAGAGGAGUCAUCCCCCAGGAGAAGAAGGAUUGGCACAUGUGAUGAACUGACUGCAGCCCCCAUUGCCUGUUCCCCUGCCUUGGGGUGAGAAGGCAGAGAAAACUGGAAAUAAAGUUAAGCAUGGGAGGAAGAGCAGGAUGGGGAAAAUGUGUUUUUAAGAAUUUUUUUUCUCUUAUUAUCCUACUCUGAUUUUAUUGGUAAUAAGUGAAAUAAAUUUUUCCCCAAAUAAGGUUUGUUUUGCCCAUGAUGGUAACUGAUGAGAGAUCCAGCCCUGUCUGCCCUUUUGCUGUAUUUCUCUCCCCUGUCCAGCUGAGGAGUGAACUAAUAGAGCAGCUUGGUGGGCACUUGGUAUCCAGCCAAGGUCAGCCCACUACAACCUUUCUGGUUUUUUCACAUCAUUCCUUCUACUUAAUAAGGAAUAAUAUAAUAUAUUAAUUAAAAAUAUACAUGUAUGAUUGAAGCCCAAAGAUUAUGAAUUUUGAUAUGAUUAUGAAGAAAUUCUGUAUUUGUUUCUCCAUGCUGGAUAGGUGGCAGAUGUGAAAACACUGCUAUUUAUGUCAAAAUAUUAGCAAGGAAAGACUUGCAAAGACGACAUCAGAGUGGUGAUAUGCCACAAAGCACUUCAGUCUCUGAAAAGACACCAAAAGAACCAUUCAAGGAUUAAAGACAGUUUGAAUAUAAACAAGUUUAUUAUUGAAGUAUCAAUUACUGCAUGCAUCAAAACAACUAAAUAAGGGUUACACUACAAAUGGUAACAUCAAAGCAAAAGAUAGCUCUAAUUUUUGUUGAAUACUAGCAUGAAAAAACAUUUUAAUGGAGCCUGUUUAUCAGUUCCUGUAUUUUCUUCUAAGAAGCUUCUUUAUCCCCCAUGGUAAUAGCUGCUGAGUGUCAUGAACAUUUUGAGUGAUGUCUUAUUCAAGAUGGAGAAAAAAGGUUUAGGCAGAACCGUGUGCCUCUGUAAAAUGGAACUUUAGGAACUUUAUUGGUUUUAAUUGUAAAGUUUGUAAUAUAAUGCAUCUGUAUGUAGACAGUACAUAUGUGUGUGCCUGUGUAUACAUAUUUAUAUAUACAUAGCCAAUGUGUCCGUGCACAAAUUUUAAUUAAAAAAAUCAUUAUACUUUGAAGACAUAUAUGAAGACAGGGUGCUCACUUCAGAAAUGAACAAUCUGUAAACCAGAUUGGAAAUCCCUUUAUCAGGAUACCUUUACCAUGCACAUAACCCAUCCCAUUAAUCUCAACAGAGAUGCCUGUCUCUGUAACUGUACUUCAAGCGAGUCAGGACUUGCCUGCUUGGCAUUAAGGAUGCACUUGUCAUGUCAUCUGUGUUACAUUUUAUACGAGAGGGAAUGCAAUUUGACCUUUAUUUUCUUAGUCUUUGAGAAUAAAUUAACAUUAAAUUUAAAAGAUAAAUGGCAUUGCCAUUAUAGGUUAUGCUGAAAAGAUUUUUCAUCUAUGUCAACUUGCUAAAUACUAUUUGUGCAUAAUACCAGCACAUAAACUCACACAAGUCUUGCUUUCAUUCCAUAUUCAGACUAGAUUCUAAGUAAUGUGAUUAUAACGCAUUCUGUGGAAAAAUGCUUUCAUCUAAAGCAAAAUAAAAUUAAUAUUGAUCAAUGAUCAAUACCUGACAAUGAUCAAUACCUGACAAUGACAUACCUGAUAAUCAAAAGCAAAAUCAGAAAUGAAGGGUAAUAUCGAUUAACAAACUUAAAUUGUCAGUUAAUUGGAUUUUCUUUCUCCCAGCUCCAAUUAUUGUUGUUCAUAAGAAGCCUCUAGACCUUAUCAAACUUUACAUGUCAAGUUCACUGGUUUUCUUUUCUAAGACAGACUUGUUUAUUUCACAGAUCAUGCCUGAUCCCAUGGGAAUUUCUAUCUUAAAUGACUAAAGUGUACCAUAUGUAUUAGAGACAUCCAUACUUUGGAAGUCAAAGUGAGUUGAUGUAAUUCCCAUUUAGCUGUGUUCUGGUACUAUCUUUAACUGUCAAAAUUUUUGGAACGUACUUGUUUGUUGACUGACACUUCUAUGUAUCUGUUCUUUUAACCUGCCAUUAUAAAGUUUAUCUCAUUCACCUGUGAGUAGUAUGAUUUUGGACCUUUUUUUCUUAUGAGUUAUGACAACAUUUCCACAGUUCCGCUUUUCUUUCCAGUAUUUAUCUUUUAUCACUCAUAACAGAGAUUCUCAUAACUGCCAAGGGGUGUCUGUUUUGUUUGUAUUGUUGAAUUCACUCUCUAGGAAAUACUGAGAUAGAUGGGUGCAAAUCCAUAAGAAAAUAAUCAAACAAUUGCUAAUUCCAGUCAAUUAAGUGAUAUCAAAAGAAAAAAAAUAGAGAUAAUGCUGUUCCAUUAGUAUAUUUGCAUUCAUUUAGUGUAGAUGUGAAAUUUGAAAGUCAGACUUUUUAAAUUGGCUGGUCCUAGUUCUGCCUAAACUGCUGUGUGAGUUCAAGCAACUCACAAGACUGCUGAGUGUCGAUAUUUAUGUAAAGGAGAAAAUGGUGCUCAUGAACUUAUGUGAUAUCUGUACUGUGCUUUGACUAAGUAUUUAUUUAAAAUGCUUUGAGAGUCUACUUGAAAAUGUCUUUGUUUGUGGAAGCUUUGUCUUCUCAUUCCUUUUCUCUAGAUGUGUGGUGUUUUCUCUACUUUGGAGUUCUGUAUUAUACAGUAUAUUAAGAGACUUUACCAUCUUAUACUGCGCAAAUAUUGAGGAGGCAGAAGUCAUACUUAAGUACCCAACACAUAGAAAGGAAAAUAUUUAAAUAUGGUUUGGCAACAGUGCAUAUGCUAUUUGUCCUCUUUCAGUGAGAGGAUCUCCUUCACAAAGUAGAAUAAAAUUCACUUUUACAGAUUUGCCAUAUUUUCUGACAAACUGUACCUGUAAUAAUGAACAGUACAUAUUUAGCUUUUGUGAUAUCC